UACAGAGGUCUCAAGCGUUGUUCGGAUUCAUUGGGCGUAAAGGGUGCGUAGGCGGCGCGGUAAGUCGGGUGUGAAAUCUUGGAGCUUAACUCCGAAACUGCAUUCGAUACUGCCGUGCUUGAGUACCGGAGAGGAAGGUGGAAUUCCCGGUGUAGCGGUGAAAUGCGUAGAUAUGCGGAGGAACACCGAUGGCGAAGGCAAUCCCCUGGGCCUGCACUGACGCUCAUGCACGAAAGCGUGGGGAGCAAACAGG
rnacentral:rRNA from 1 species